rnacentral:rRNA from 1 species
AUGGAAUACUUGGAAUUAGUAGAAUUCUCAAACUACGGAACCAACUGCUUUCGCGCCGGGGGGUGGGCGAGAUCCAGAGCAAGGACCCUAAGAAUCUGCAAGAUAUCUCGAGAAAUGGUUUUAGCACCGGUCUCUCAUAUAUGUACUCCAGUUUAUCCGAAGUAUCCCAAUGGUGUAAGACCGUCGACUAUUUGGGAAAAAGGAGGAAAAUCACUCUGA